AGCAGCCGCGGUAAUUCCAGCUCCAAUAGCGUAUAUUAAAGUUGUUGCAGUUAAAAAGCUCGUAGUUGAAUUUCGGGGUUAGUAGGUUGGUCAUGCCUCUGGUAUGUACUGGUCUCACUGAUUCCUCCUUCCUGAUGAGCCGUAAUGCCAUUAAUUUGGUGUUGCGGGGAAUUUGGACUGUUACUUUGAAAAAAUUAGAGUGUUUAAAGCAAGCUAACGCUUGAAUACAUUAGCAUGGAAUAAUGAAAUAGGACGUUCGAUCCUAUUUUGUUGGUUUCUAGGAUUGACGUAAUGAUUAAUAGGGAUAGUUGGGGGCAUUAGUAUUCAAUUGUCAGAGGUGAAAUUCUUGGAUUUAUUGAAGACUAACUACUGCGAAAGCAUUUGCCAAGGAUGUUUUUCAUUAAUCAAGAACGAAAGUUAGGGGAUCGAAGACGAUCAGAUACCGUCGUAGUCUUAACCAUAAACUAUGCCGACUAGGGAUCGGAUGAUGUUAAUUUUUUAAUGACUCAUUCGGCGCCUU
rnacentral:misc_RNA from 1 species